rnacentral:rRNA from 1 species
GACGAACGCUGGCGGCGUGCUUAACACAUGCAAGUCGAACGGAAAGGCCUGCUUUCCCUUGUGGAUUGCGGGUACUCGCGUGGCGAACGGGUGAGUAACACGUGAGUGAUCUGCCCCCAACUUGGGUAUAAGCCUGGGAAACUGGGUCUAAUUCCCGAUAGGACUGCAGGGUGGUGCCUGUGGUGGAAAACGAUUUUCUAGUGGUUGGGGAUGAGCUCGCGGCCUAUCAGCUUGUUGGUGGGGUAAUGGCCUACCAAGGCGGCGACGGGUAGCCGGCCUGAGAGGGUGGACGGCCACAUUGGGACUGAGAUACGGCCCAGACUCCUACGGGAGGCAGCAGUGGGGAAUAUUGCACAAUGGGCGGAAGCCUGAUGCAGCGACGCCGCGUGGGGGAUGACGGCCUUCGGGUUGUAAACUCCUUUCGACCGCGAGGAAGCCACCUGGUUGGAGGGGUGGUGACGGUAGUGGUAGAAGAAGCACCGGCUAACUACGUG